CAGGAGGAGGGCCGGCCGCCGGCAGACGAGACCGUGGAAGGAAGAGCGGCGGACGCGUGGCUGUGCGCUCCAGGUUCCUGGCUUGUGGUUCCUCGGUAUUUUCUUAACAGGUGCAGCGUGCAGUGAGUCACACCAGACCUGUUUUAACAGUGGAAAUUGAUGAGGUGCCGCCGAGCCGCCGACCACGAUGGGCAGGGAGACUUGCCAGCACGAGGACUGAGGGGGGCCGAGGGAAGCUGGUGCUACAUACAACCUGCACACAUUAUUGACAGGCGAACCGCGUUGAUGUGCAGGCUGGACUGACUGGCCAGUAAGACUGAAUUGUCGUGACAUGAAAAUUUUCGACUUGCCGGAAGAGGACUAAAGUGCGUGGUGCUAAAAUUUUCGACUUGCCGGAAGAGGACUGAAGUGCGAGGUGGUGCUAACACGCAGCGUCACCCUCACCUGUGGUCCUAGCAUGCUGGGUCUCAGUCUCCCACACCUGGUGCUUAGUGUGACUGUGACCUCUCAGGUGCUUUCGCCUCGUCCACUAGAUUUCCCCACACGCCCGUUGUGCCUGGGAGUGCUCGCUGCUCCGUCUUUGGGGGACGAUGGUGGACAGGACCUCCAAGGUGUCUUGCCGCCUUGAACACAUGCUCUUUGUCGAGGUCUCUUUCCUCCCUGUUUCCCUUCCCUGCCCCGGCCUUUCUCCUUUUAUUUCAACUGCUUUACGCCACCUCGUCUCAGUCUCUUGUUUCCCGCCUUCCUUUCAUGUCUUUUCCUUCCCUCUCCUUUCCUGUUUCUCCCCUCCUUUCUCUUCUCUUUACUUUCCUUUCUUCUCCAUUCCUUUUCUUUCCUCAUGUGCUGGUUCACAUUCCAUCUCCUCGCUCGGUGGUGUUGGCCAGUUUUAUGGAAGAGAGCAUCGCCCAGUGUUUAGGGAACCAUCGUUUACAUAAACUAACUCACAUAAAGCGAGAUUUAAGACUGUGUGUGUGCCUUCUGUUUGUUUAGCCCAUUGUGUGAUGCACCGAGCCUUCCGCAACUCGUUUGGAAGAGAACGAAAACUUUUGUAGGUGGAGCAUCUUUGUGUGUAGUGGUUCUUUAACGAAGAAAGAAGGGAUACUUUGUUGCACUGUGAUAUUAAAGUUAUUUAAUAGUAGUUUUUUACUCGGGUACCUGAGAUAAAUUUGCUUAGAUUGU